rnacentral:rRNA from 1 species
UGGGGAAUCUUGCACAAUGGGGAAAACCCUGAUGCAGCGACGCCGCGCGAGCGAUGAAGCCCUUCGGGGUGUAAAGCUCUUUCGGCAGGAACGAUAAUGACGGUACCUGAAGAAGAAGCUGCGGCUAACUACGUGCCAGCAGCCGCGGUAAUACGUAGGCAGCAAGCGUUGUUCGGAGUUACUGGGCGUAAAGAGUGCGUAGGCGGUCUUUUAAGUUUGGUGUGAAAUCUCCCGGCUCAACUGGGAGGGUGCGCCGAAAACUGGAAGGCUCGAGGAUGGGAGAGGCAUGCGGAAUUCCUGGUGUAGCGGUGAAAUGCGUAGAUAUCAGGAGGAACACCUGCGGUGUAGACAGCAUGCUGGACCAUUUCUGACGCUGAGGCACGAAAGCGUGGGUAGCAGAC